rnacentral:piRNA from 1 species
CUCACCUAACCCAAGUCAUCAGGUAGC